UACGGAGGAUGCGAGCGUUAUCCGGAUUUAUUGGGUUUAAAGGGUGCGUAGGCGGGAUGCCAAGUCAGCGGUAAAAAUGCGGUGCUCAACGCCGUCGAGCCGUUGAAACUGGCGUUCUUGAGUGGGCGAGAAGUAUGCGGAAUGCGUGGUGUAGCGGUGAAAUGCAUAGAUAACACGCAGGACUCCGAUUGCGAAGGCAGCAUACCGGCGCCCUACUGACGCUGAGGCACGAAAGCGUGGGUAUCGAACAGG
rnacentral:rRNA from 1 species